GCUAGCGUGGCUCAAUGGCAGAGCACAUCACUCGUAAUGAUGGGGUUGUGGGUUCGAUUCCCACCGCUAGCUCCA
rnacentral:tRNA from 4 species